rnacentral:rRNA from 1 species
GAACUGAAACAUCUAAGUACCCGGAGGAAAAGAAAUCAAACGAGAUGCCCACAGUAGCGGCGAGCGAAGAGGGCAGAGCCCAAACCUGUAAGCUACGGCUUAUGGGGGUUGAGGACUGACGUAAUUAAGGCCAGGCUUAGCUGAACUACCUGGGAAGGUAGGCGAUAGAAGGUAAGAGCCCUGUAAGCGAAAGGCAGAGCCUUAAGGUCAGUAUCCAGAGUACCACGGAGCACGAGGAAUUCUGUGGGAAGCAGGGGGGACCACCCUCCAAGGCUAAAGACUAACUGGCGACCGAUAGCGCAUAGUACCGUGAGGGAAAGGUGAAAAGAACCCCGGGAGGGGAGUGAAAUAGUACCUGAAACCGUAUGUCUACAAGCAGUCGGAGCGAAAGCGACGGCGUGCCUAUUGAAGAAUGAACCAACGAGUUAUCUGCACUAGCGAGGUUAAGUGGAAGACACGGAGCCGUAGCGAAAGCGAGUCUGAAAAGGGCGGCGAGUUAGUGUAGGUAGACCCGAAACCGCAGUGAUCUACCCAUGUCCAGGUUGAAGCGCAGGUAAAAAUGCGUGGAGGACCGAACCGGUGAGCGUUGAAAAGCUUUCGGAUGAGAUGUGGGUAGGGGUGAAAUUCCAAUCGAACGCGGAGAUAGCUGGUUCUCCCCGAAAUAGCUUUAGGGCUAGCCUCAGGUAGUAAGUAUAGGCGGUAGAGCACUGAUCGGGCUAGGGGCCAUAAAGGUUACCGAACCCUGUCAAACUCCGAAUGGAUAUACUGCAGAGCCUGGGAGUCAGACUACGAGUGAUAAGAUCCGUGGUCAAAAGGGAAACAGCCCAGACCACCGGCUAAGGUCCCAAAUGCCGUACUAAGUGGAAAAGGAUGUGGGGAUUCAUAAACAACCAGGAUGUUGGCUCAGAAGCAGCCACCAUUUAAAGAGUGCGUAAUAGCUCACUGGUCGAGAGUCCCUGCGCCGAAAAUUUCCGGGGCUAAAGUACGGAACCGAAGCCGUGGCUGUGUACGUAAGUGCACGGGGUAGGGGAGCGUUGCCACAGGGGUGAAGCUGGUCUGGAAGGACUGGUGGACUUGUGGGAAGUGAGAAUGUUGGUAUGAGUAGCGAAAAGAAAGGUGAGAAUCCUUUCCACCGAAAGCAUAAGGAUUCCUGAGCAACGAUCGUCGUCUCAGGGUAAGUCGGGACCUAAUCCGAGGCAAAGAGCGUAGGAGAUGGACAACAGGUUGAUAUUCCUGUACCGGCAGCAAUUGUUUGAGCGAAGGAGUGACACAGAAGGGCAGGCAGGCGCGAGACUGGAUUGUCGCGUGCAAGCGUGUAGGGUAGUGUACAGGCAAAUCCGUACACUGAGAGCCUGAGGCGUUACGCGGAGCGAGCAGAGAUGCGAGCGAAGCUGCUGAUCCCACACUGUCGAGAAAAGCUUCUAGUGAGAGAGCUGCCGCCCGUACCGUAAACCGACACAGGUAUGCGGGGAGAGAAUCCUAAGGUGCGCGGGAGAACCCUCGUUAAGGAACUCGGCAAAAUGUACCCGUAACUUCGGGAUAAGGGUAGCCGUCUUGGUGAAGGAACUAGCUUCUGGAGCUAAAGGCGGUCGCAGAGAAGAGGCCCAAGCGACUGUUUACCACAAACACAGGUGCCUGCUAAAGCGAAAGCUGACGUAUAGGUGCUGACACCUGCCCAGUGCUGGAAGGUUAAGGAAGGAUGUCCGGGCAACCAAAGCAUUCGACCGAAGCCCCAGUGAACGGCGGCCGUAACUAUAACGGUCCUAAGGUAGCGAAAUUCCUUGUCGGGUAAGUUCCGACCCGCACGAAAGGCGUAACGAUUUGGGCACUGUCUCAACGAGGGACCCGGUGAAAUUGAAAUACCUGUGAAGAUGCAGGUUACCCGCGACUGGACAGAAAGACCCCAUGGAGCUUUACUGUAACCUGACAUUGGGUUUUGUUGUAUUACGUACAGGAUAGGUGGGAGGCUUGGAAGGCUGGACGCUAGUCUGGCUGGAGCCGGCGUUGGGAUACCACCCUUGAUACAACGGAAUUCUAACCGAGAGAGUAACGAAAUCCGGGACAGUGUCAGGCGGGCAGUUUGACUGGGGCGGUCGCCUC